AUGAGUUGGAAUGUGUCUCUGGUUCCUAGUACUUCUAGUCGAAACAGAAAGCAAGCGGCAAGUGCAAGUUCAAGUUCAGUUAACUCCAUAGCCAUGGGGGAGCAGGAACCAGUUAGGAGCCGUGGCGGGAGAGCCGCUGAGCAUGGGAAGGGGAAGCAGAGGAGGGGCGGAGCACCACCGCCCAAUCAUCGGGCGUCGCAGAAGGUACCAAGCAGCAGGAGGAUGAAGCGGCGGCUCUACACGAGCAAUAGCGCCGAAACAAUCAUUGGGAGAAACAGAGGGUGCUACAGCAGCGGCGGGUGCUGCGGUGUGGUCACGUCGGUGCAUGAUGUAGUCACCCGCAGCGGCGCAUGGGUCAGAUGGGCACGACGAGCAGGAUGGUGUGAAGGGGUGGUGACACAUUAG
rnacentral:rRNA from 1 species